GUGAAACCAGUCUGGGUGGGCCGGCACAGUUUCACAUUUGCUGAGUCAUUGCUGGUGUAGAUCUUUAAAAGGAAGCGAACUCUUCGGUCUCACAUAACCCACCCAUUGACACAGACGCAAUCUCUCUUCACCCGCGGAAGGAAAACCUGAGCAGUCGACAAAAUGCCGAGAAACUUUAAUCAGUGUGUUGAAGAUUUGGCUGAAAUGUAUAAGGAAUGCAGCAAGAAGAAAAAUUUCAAAGAAGUGAUAAAGUGCGAUUGCCCUCAGCUUCAGGAAAAAAUGGAAUGCUGCCCCGAGUUAAAGAGUGCCAUGACUCCGGUGUUGGAGGGAGAAGAUCUGACUGUGGACCAGUUCUGCACAGUUGUUCGUUGCGGCAUCAAAAUGAAUACGAUGAGUUCGUGUCAGCAGACCUGUGGGUGAAGAUCAAAAGGCCAAGGCGGCAGAGAAUCUCCAGCAUGAAAUCAUCAAGUGUGUCGCAUUUUAGAAAUAUUUUGUAUGCAAGCAGGAUGUGAUUCGCUGUUUGUUUCUAUGCAAAAGUGGAACCUUUCAUUUGUUGGAUGAGAAUGAAUAAAAAUUAAUUGUCCUGA